CCUAACGAGUGCAGCAAAGCUCUCUGCUUUCCAGGAGGCCCCUCCUCCAGGAAGCCACUGGCCCUGCCUUCCUAGGAGGCUUGGGGAAGUCACCACCUGCUCCUCCUGCAUCCUGUGCCCUGCUGCCCUUCUCCCAGGUUCUGUGUCCCCAGAUCCCCUGGCUGGAGGAGCAGGGUGCUGCAGCUGGGCUGGGGGUGUGGGAUGCACAAGCUCCUGCUUUUCAAGCCCCUGGCUCACACCUCCAUCCCUGCUCAGCGAGCUCAGUUCUGCCAGUGUAGCACGGACCCCAGCCUCCCGCCACCACGGGGCCUCUGAGGCCAGUGUAUCUGGGCACCGCCUGGCCCCUGAGAUGUGGAAGCAGCGGCUGAAAUAUAUAAAGCCACAGCACUCUUAUCAUGUAUAAAAGGCGGGCCACUGUCACAUCAGGUAGCAUCAGAUAUCUGGUAGCUGCCCAUGUUUUCCUGGUGUCGCAUGGAUGCUGAGUUAUUUUUUAUGGCUCACGACUUAUGUGAGUCAGAAAGCAAAAAUAUGACCCACAUAUCAGGAUUGGUUUAUGCAUCUUUAGGUUCCUUUGUUGGAAUGUCAUUUAGAAUAGUUCCUCUCUUGAUGGUUGGAUUACUAACACGAGGCCACACAUCUCUGCGGUCCCCCUGAACAGCAGCCAUCCAGUCUGCAGACCUGGCUGCAGGCGGGAUCCUCUGCCCACCUCAUCCUAAUUCACCUGCAGCGUCACUUGGACUGUUUUUUCAGUACUGGUGCUUGAACCCAGGGCCUUUGCCCUGAGCUACAUCCCCAGUCCUUUUAAAUUUCAAAACAGGGUCUCACUAAGUUGCUAAAUGGUUAAGCACCCCAGGCUGUUCCAUGUUUCUCCAGUGCCUGUGUAGCCUUGGGUCAACAUUAAAUCACCCUGCAAUGUCCCUUGGAGAGAAAAAUUUUCCGGAAGCCUUUCUUUCCCUUUUUAACCCAGUCUCUCCUUCACUGGCCAAAUCUGAGCUUGCCCGGUCUCUCUUUGCUCAGUAACAGUUUGCCCACCGCCUCUUUGUCUUCAGGAAACUGGGGUCACCAGCUUUGCACCCUGAAAGUCCUGCUGUGCCCUGGCCACCCCCACCCGGAGGUCCCCCCCAGGCCCCCAUCUCAGACAUUUCUGCCCAUACCUCCUCUUCCUCCUGGGGUGCUGCUGUGCAUCCCUUCCUUCAUCGGGUGUUCAGUCAACACUUAGGUGAUCGUCUGUCAGUGCCAGCUUGAGGUAUUGGAAGUUUUGCCCCUUUUAAACACACAGCUAUGAGAUCUUACAGACGUGUAACGUACAGAAUAUUUCUUCCCACCCUUUGCAGUCACCCCUCCUCCCUGCGCCCACUCGCAUCUGUUUUCAGUCCCCCCACUUUUGCCUUUCCCAGGAGGUCCUAGGAAGGGAGAGCCAGGUGGCUUUCUGGAGGAGGGGCCUCCUGCAAAGCAGUCCUGAGUGGGAUCUUGCAGUUUGUAGCCUUUGGGCUCUGGCUUCUGUCACUUAGCAUAAAUGCUUCUGUGAGGCAUCUGAGGUGCCGUGUGUAUUAGGAGUCCAUUCCUCUGUAGGGCUGGGUUGCAUUGUGCUCCAUAGAUGGAUUGUAAUUCACUUAUCUCUCCACCACUCGAUGAACGUUUGGGUUAUUUCUGAUUUGGGGCAAUUCUGAAUAAGGCCUCUGUAAACAUUACAUUUCUGUGCAAACAUAAAUUUCCAUUUCUCUGGGGCUGAUUCCUGCAAGUAGGGUUGCUGGGUCACAUGGAAGUUUAUGUUUAGCUUUACAGGAAGCUGCCAAACCAUGAUUCAGAAGGGCUGUCCAUUUCCAAAGCAGUAAAGAGCCCUAAUGUUUGAACGUUCACUGGAGCAUCUGUAAAAGCACCAGGGAGAAUCCUGUUCCUCACAGGAAGCACAGCUUCUUGGGCAAGUGGAAGUUCUUGUUUCUCUGGUGCAGAUGGCCAGAGUGGGUUUCUGGCUUGGAUGUUCAGUGGGUGUAAGAAAAUGCCCACACUCUGGGAGGCUGAGGCAGGAAGGAUUGAAGGUUGGGCAAUUUAAUGGCAGACUUUGUCUUAAAAAAAAGGGAGAGGGGCUGGGGUGUAGCUCAGUGAGAAGGCCCUGAGUUCAAUCUCAAGUACAGAAAGAAAGAAGGAAAGGAAGGAAGGAAGCCAAAUCGGUCUCCAAAGUGACUGCACCAUUUUGUAUUCUCAGCUGUGAUGGAUCAGUUUUACUUGUUCUACAUCUUUACCAGGUACCAACUCAACUCUUCCCUUCUCCUUUCUCAUUUCUUAGGUUCCUUCCUUCUUUCCCUCCCUCCCUCUCCUCCUCCCUUUCCCCCUUUCUUCCUCUCUCUCCCCCUUUUCCUUCUUUGAAGCACCAAGGAUCAGAUUGAGGGCAUCAUACAUCCUAGGCAAGCACUCUGCCACUAAGCUGCAUCCCCGGCCUGGUUCUGACAUUUUCUAACAUAGAAGGAGUGGUCCAAUGCCUCCCCAUCCUAAUCCCCUGGCUUCAGCGAAGGCCACCUCCUGUCUUAUCUGACCUCAUCCCCAGCCCCCAUAACUAAAUUAUCUCUGAAGCAAGUCCCAGACAGCCUGUGAUUUCAUUCAUAUUCAACAUUGUACCUAAAAGAUAAGAAUUCUUUUUUAUAAAGCCACAGCCCUCUUAUCAUGUAUAGAAGGUGGGCCACUGUCACAUCAGGUAGCAUCAGAUAUCUGGCAGCUGCCCACAUUUCCCUGGGUGUCGCAUGGAUGCCAAGUUAUUUUUUUAUGGCUCGUGACUUACAUGAGUCAGGAAGCAAAUAUGACCCGCAUAUCAGGAUUGGUUUAUGCAUCUUUAGGUUCCUUUGUUGGAAAGUCAUUUAGAAUAGUUCCUCUCUUGGUGGUUGGACUACUAACACGUUGGGUAGAUUGACUUGCUCCAUUUGUCUUUAGGGUUUUCGGAAUUUCUGUAAAAUUUUAUUGAUGGUUUCAAAGUCUGUCCUACAAAAUAAAGUAUAUGGAGGAAGGUUGGACUUUUGUGUCCACCUAUAACUACAAUUUAAACCAAUCAUGCUUUAUCCGUAUGUUGAUUUAAUUCAUUAUGUAUUACGAACAUGUACUAACAAUAACCUGUCUGUCUGUCUGUCUGUCUGUCUCCCUCCCUCCAGGCUCUGGAGUCAGAGGCUGGAUGCCCUCUGCCAGCUGUGGUCCCUUGCAUUCCCCUGGCUGCCUGGCAGCAUCCUCUGCCACCUUCCCAUCAGCGAGGGCUGCCAGACUCUUGGAUUUCUGCCAAUCUGAUAGAUUCCUCGAAGACAGUAUGUGACGCCUGCUUCUUUUCCUGACUUAAAAGAAUGCCUGCUUAUUGAGGAGGAUGUGGGAACUACUGAGAAGUACAAAGAAAACAGAAAUCACCUGUCAGCUCAUUACUCAGCGUAAAGCACCCUAGACACCUGGGUGUAUUGUACCCCAACUUUCUUUCGUUACAUAUUGUAUUGUUCACACACACAUGUAUGUGUGCACACAUGUGUGUGCAUACACACACACUUUCCCAUAACAUUAGAGCCUAGAGACUUUCUCAUGGCAUUAAACUUCUGCACAUCUUAAUUUAGAAUAAAUCCCACAAAUGGGAUGCACCGUAGCCUUACCCUACCACUCAACUUCUCUGUGCCUCAGUUUCCUCCUUUGUAAAAUGGGGAUGAUGAUGUUCUUUCCUCCUAAAGGUCCUCAUCAGAGCUCAUUGUGACCGGCAUAAGUGUGGUAGCCCUUGGACCAAGGAAUGAGUCUACCAGAAGUGAUCAGGUGAAUUUGAAAAAGACCACACAGAAUUUCAAGAAAUGACAAAUACAAGUGAAAUCCUAAAAAGUCAUGACAGAGCUGGGAGACUGAAGCCCAGGCUAGAAAGGGAGCUCCAGAAGCCAGAACAUGCGAAGGACAUUGUGCAUAGAAGAGAGCACAAGAAAGCAAUGCCAUAACUUUAUGACCCUCAGGGUCUUCUCCCAGUGUGCAUGGUUGGAUCUGUCCCAAAACAGAAUGUGAAGGGUUUGAGACCUGAACUGUGGGGUGGACCGUCUCCAAGGUCCCAGUCUGGCCACUUGUCCUGGACUCGUGAAACCCAGCCAGAUGGCACUGUGGAAAUCUGUGAAACUGAGCUGAUACUGGAACCAGAGCCCAUAGAAAGUGAAUUGUAGACUGGACCUCGCCUAGGUCUAUUGUCUGUUAAAAUCAAUCAAGAGAUUAAUAAGUCAAUAUUUUCCUUGGGGUUUAAAUAAGACCUACAGUCACCAUGAGUUCAAGGCCAGCCUGGGCUACAUAUCGAGACCCUGUUUUAAAAAAAAACCCAGAACAAAUAAGCAUACAGAAGAACCAAAAUAUAAUUAUAGAAAUAGAAAUAAAAGAACAAAAGAGUUGGAAGGGUUCAAGACCAGAAUGGAAGAGAUGACAGUAGAAGGAUAGAUCUACAGGAAUUAUCCAAUCUGAACCACAGAGAGAAAAAGAUUGAAAAAACUUUGAGCAGAGUCUCAGGAAACUAUGGAACAAUACCAAAAUGACAAAUACUCCUGUCAUCAGAGUCCUAGAAGGUGUGGACAAAGCACAGUUCAAGAAAUAAGAAGGGAACAAGAAUGGCUGGAAACUUCUCAAAAUUACAGGCUCAAGAAACUCCUUAAAGCUGGAGUUUUAGCUCAGUGGUUUCGCCACCUGCCUUGCAAGCAAGGACCCAAGUUCGAUCCCCAGCACCAAAAAAAAAAAAAAAAAGAAAAAGAAAAAGAAAAAGAAACUCCUUAAACUUCAAACAGUUUAAGUUCAAAGAUAUCCACUUCUAGGCACAUGAUAAUCCAACUUCCUUAGAGACAAAGAUAUCUCCAAAGUGGUCAGAGAAAAAUAGAACACUUGUUUGUCAGUAUCUCACCAGAAACCAGGGAGGCUAACAGGAAGUGAAACAGUAUUUAUGAAGUGCUAGAAGAAAAGGACCACCAACCUGCAGUUCUAUACCCAGUGAAAAUAUCCUUUAGGAAAGGGAAUGAAAUAAAGGUAUCCUGACAUGAAGGAAAGCUUGGAGACUUUGUCACCAGCACACCAGCACACCUUUGUUUCUAAAACAAGUGGUAGAGGAAGUUCCUCCCAUGGAAGAGAGAUGACAUUAGAUCGAAAUGUGGAAUGACAGGAAUGAAGUGUGAAGGACAGAAAUGAUAAAUGUCUGAGUAAAUGUUCUGUUUCUUGUAUCUAAAAUAUGACUGAUGGUUGAAAACAAAAAUUCUGACAUUGUUUGAUGAGGUUUUAAAUGCAGACUGAAUGUACAGUAUAAAGAAAGGAGGACAGAUGGACUUCAGUGAUGAGAAGUAUUCCAUAUACCACUGAAAUAGUAUUUAUCCUAAGUAUUUAUACUAACCGUGGAAAGUUAAGAAUGUAUGUGAAAAGCCCAGAACAACCACCAAAAUAUUUUACAAACAGAUGUAGUAAAGAAUACAAUCAACAAAAUGUAUAAAUUAGACCAUAGAUAUGUAUGAUGAAUAAA